GCUGGGCGCGGUGGCGCACUCCUGGAAUCCCAGCAGCUUAGGAGACUGAGACAGGAGGAUCGUGAGUUCAAAGCCAGUCUCAGCAAAAGUGAGGUGCUAAGCUACUCAGUGAGACCCUGUCUCUA
rnacentral:sRNA from 1 species